AACAAAUCCUUUAAAUAUGUAUGCAUCACAGUGGCUGUGUAUUUCACUCUGCUUCUGAAAUUUAGUUCCAUUGACCUAAAUGGAUCUGAAUUUUGAAAACACACACAAUGACUUUGAAAUACAAACACUUAAUUAACAUGAAUGAAAGAUGUAUUUCCACGAAUGAAUCUCAAGAUAUGAAAAGCAACUGUCACUCUACUUUUUUACUAACGGGGCGGAGGGAAAGAAAACACAGACAGAGAGGGUAGCUGCGGUCCUGUCAGGAUUUUCGAUCCACAGCAGCGCUCAAAGCUGCGGUUCUGCCCAGCGAUGUGUUCCUGUUCUUGGAGUUCGACAAUCAGUCACAUUUCCCUAUGUCCAGAUUCAGCCUGAAGUCGGGCAACUUCAGUGCUUUGCAUGGCCCUGUGGACAUGAAUUCUCACCGGUGUCACGAACUGAAUCAUAAUGGGAACCAGAAUAUUGAGGACAGCGAGAGUGGCUGUCAGCGGGCUCUGCUCUCGGUAGUCCAUCUCUCUCUCUCUCUCGAGGGUGAGGGAGAGUUUGCUGCCAAUUCUCGAGUCAGGGAGCUCAAAAUAAAAGCUUUACAUUUGUGGUUGGUACAUCCAAUAAUACUGACCACAAAAGUAAAGGAUUUAUGUUUCAGUAAUGCUUGCUUUAAGGAUAAAAAAGAACAAACAUUGCCACCAGCUUGGCUCCUUGGUCCCUCCACUUGCGGUAGCUGAAAGACUGAAUAUAUUUUAUCAAAAUAAACUUUAUUCAUACUAAACAAUA